UACGGGAGGUAGCAGUGGGGAAUAUUGCACAAUGGGCGAAAGCCUGAUGCAGCUAUGCCGCGUGUAUGAAGAAGGCCUUAGGGUUGUAAAGUACUUUCAUCGGGGAGGAAAAAACAAAACUAAUAAUUUUAUUUCUUGACGUUACCCGAAAAAGAAGCACCGGCUAACUCCGUGCCAGCAGCCGCGGUAAUACGGAGGGUGCUAGCGUUAAUCAGAAUUACUGGGCGUAAAGAGCACGUAGGUGGUUUUUUUAAGUCAGAUGUGAAAUCCCUGGGCUUAACCUAGGAACUGCAUUUUGAAACUGAAAUACUAGAGUAUCGUAGAGGGAGGUAGAAUUCUAGGUGUAGCGGUGAAAUGCGUAGAUAUCUGGAGGAAUACCUGUGGCGAAAGCGGCCUCCUAAACGAAUACUGACACUGAGGGUGCGAAAGCGUGGGGAGCAAACAGGGAUUAGAUACCCGU
rnacentral:rRNA from 1 species